UACGUAGGGUGCAAGCGUUGUCCGGAAUUAUUGGGCGUAAAGAGCUCGUAGGCGGUUUGUCGCGUCGAAUGUGAAAACCCGGGGCUCAACCCCGGGCCUGCAUUCGAUACGGGCAGACUAGAGUUCGGUAGGGGAGUCUGGAAUUCCUGGUGUAGCGGUGAAAUGCGCAGAUAUCAGGAGGAACACCGACGGCGAAGGCAGCACUCUGGGCCGGUACUGACGCUGAGGAGCGAAAGCGUGGGGAGCAAACAGG
rnacentral:rRNA from 1 species